rnacentral:rRNA from 1 species
UACGGAGGGAGCUAGCGUUGUUCGGAAUUACUGGGCGUAAAGCGCACGUAGGCGGCUAUUCAAGUCGGGGGUGAAAGCCCGGGGCUCAACCCCGGAACUGCCCUCGAAACUAGGUAGCUAGAAUCUUGGAGAGGUCAGUGGAAGUUCCGAGUGAUAGAGGUGAAAGUUCGUAGAUAUUCGGAAGAACACCAGUGGCGAAGGCGACUGACUGGACAAGUAUUGAGCGCUGAGGUGCGAAAGCGUGGGGAGCAAACAGG